AUGUGGUACAAGGAAAUCCCAGAAUUGGCGGGUUCUUUGUUUGUAAAGCCAUCAUUCCUCAUCUCAUUGUUUAAGGCUAUUGUGAGACAUGACCUAGUCCAGGAGCUGAACAAGAUUUCCCCACUACAGCUGAAGUCAGAAAAUGCACUUGCAGUACAGAAGAAAAGAUGGAUCAGCGACUAUAAACACAGAGCAUCCUUAAACAAUGUGGCUAUUAGGAUCCUGGUGCGGACUGAGCUCCAGAAGAAUCCAAAACGCAUUACUGAUAAAGAGCUAAUUGAGGAGGUGGCUGGGUCCAAUAAGAAGGAAGGAAGUCUCCUUUCACUACUAAAACACUUUGAUAUAUGCUUGCCAACAAAACAUAACAGUCCUCUCAAUCCAAAAGCCAACGAAUUCUGUCCGAAGAAAAAUUGGGUACCCUCAAAUCCGAUUGUGUAUGAGCCAGAUGCUUGUCUGUUCCCAAGUUACCUGUUAGACAACAAACAGGUAGAGCAAAAGUGGGAAUCAGACAAUCCAGAGGACCUAAAUAUCCCAUAUUUACUUCCUACCUGAGAUACCACAUCAUUUCUUUCACAGGUGAAUGCUUACGCUUGUCUCUUUCAGAGAAAAAAAGAAAUACAAGUCUUUAAAGAACAUUCCUGGUUUAUCCACUCUGUCUGUUUUGCGGUCAUGUGUAAUCAACCCAGAUACCCUGAUGAUCCAAAAGUUACUUCAAACUGAUUUGAUUGUAACUAGUAUUGACACUGGGAUAACUAGUAAUGACAUGUAAAACUGAUUCUUGCUUUACAUACAGGCUUGCCAUCAGGGCGUGCUCCUUAUACUCUCCAUACUGGAUCGGAAAAGACCAGUGUGUGCUGUGCUGUGGUGACAGACGGUUUCUGCUCAGAGAACACCGUGAUGAGGACCAGUUUAUUGAGAUCCGCUGCAAAGAGACUGAGCGUAAGUCUCUGUUCGAUUACAUUUUGUAUAGCAAUGAUUGUAUAGCCUCUCGAGCAGAUACUUUAAAUAUACAUACACUGAAUUUUUUGUCUUCUACAUUCAGUUAAAUUCAGUUUACGUUUAUUUGUACAGCGCUUUUCACAAUGCAAAUCAUUGCAAAGCAGAUUAACAGAAUUCUCUUAUAUAAUUAUAAAUUAUAGUUUCUACAUUAUAUUUAGGAGUAGCUUGUCAGUGGUCACUAUGUCAAGGUGAUGUCAAUUGUGCAUAUGGCAGAAGUGUACAGUAAAAACCACUAUUAACGCUAAUGAUUAUAUGUUGCAAUAUUAUUUUCCUAUUUGUAGUUGAAACUUCAGAAGACAUCCAGAAAGCAUGGGAAGUGAUAAGGAAGAUUAUGACACGGCUGAACAAACUGACAGAGCAGUGGCAAGGGCUGUACCUGACUGUCCACAGUCCCUGUAAAUCCAGCGACUGUGAUGAAUACUUUGAAUGGAACGACUGGCAAGAAUGGUUAGAAGAUUCAGGGACAAGCAAAUUUAAUAUGUAAGUUGCCAUGUGAUUUGGCCUUAUUUUGUGUGUUCUUAUUAGAGCAUUACAUAUUAAUUUUAUUAAUGUAUGUUUGACUCAUCUUAGUUUUAAACGUAUUGAAAUUAAAUCAGGUGAACACUGUUUUGUCUUAUAGAGGACUUGAAGAAAAACACACUUGCCUUAAUGGACACCAACGAAGGACAGAGUUGCUGUUCCCUAGAAGUAAAUGCAUUUAUUUACAGAGAAAUACAACAUGCAUUUAGUCUUCUGCCAUUUAUAAUUCUUACAAUUUUUUUUCAGCUCCUGAUGCUUUGACCUAAAGACAGGGCGUAUGGACUUGACUUGAUGGGAUGACAAAUGUGUCAUUCCUAAAAUAUUGUGAAACACAACUUGAACAUUUGUUUAUAUACUGUAAUUAAUUAAAAUACCAACUUGCACAGACAAUAGCAUUGUAAUGUUUCCACAACACGUUAUUACAUAAAUUGUAAUAGCUCCAAAACAUUAAACUAGCCUAUAUAAUAUUUACUAUAGUUAAUGUAUAUUUCUUGACUUAGCAUGAAAUGGAGGAAUCUAACAUUAUUUUGGGGAACAUACACAAGUUUUGUGUAGUCUCCUCUCGGUAAGAAACUGUUCGGUGGAUAUGUUGUCUUGUAGAAACAUAUUGUCGCCGCUAGGGGGUGAUCUUUAUACAUUUACGUUUCACAAUUUGUUUGAGGACUGUUUGUGGAGGGUAAAUUAUUGCUGCUGUGGAGUCCGGGCUGUAACAUGUAAUGAAUUGUUCAAUAAAGUUAUCCAGAUACAAAAGUAUCAUUGGAUUUACCAAAGUCUCUUUCUGUCUGCCUGUAUGCUUUAAAUUAGCUAAAAAGUAAAAAGCAGGCCUACAUAUUUACCUCAACAUAUAAAUAUUCUAACAAUGCAUAUAAAAUAUAAAGUUUAAAGUGUAAAUUAUUUGAUUACACUUUAUUUUUUUGGUUCUCUUUAGACAUUAUGUUGACUAUAAGUAACUUUGCAACUACAUUGACUGUUAGAUUAUGGUUAAUAAGUUGAUAUGUGCACCCGAAUGUCUAAAAGGGACCAUCAAAAUAAAGGGUUACCAGCUAUUUUUAUUGGGUUGUAUUUUUUUUAUCACAAACUUUUUAAAAAGUAUUUAAAAGCCUCAAUGAAGAUUUUUCUCCCCCAUUUUCCAUAUGUUCAUUUGUGUUCAGAUUUUUACUUCAUUAUAAAGUACAUAGCAAGCUGGCAUUAUCAGUUGAUAUUGUUGAUAGAGCUUUACUGUAUACUAAUGACAGUUCACCUGCAGCAGUCUUAGGUUAGACACACACACAAAUACACUGUAGAGACUUUUCAUUGACUUCUGUUGAGUUUACAUUGCACUAAUGAUUUCUAUCCCUAAACAGAACCCUCAGACAAACCAUUCUGCAUUGUUAAGUUUUUAUUAAGAAAAAAUUAAAUCGAAUGAUCCACACAGGGUUUGAUAUUCUUGUGGAGUGGAGAUAUUUAGCCAUGACAUUUAGACAUGAUUAUAUACGCAAAUCCUGAUUAACACAAUCUAAAUGAUCAAAAACGUCUUAAAAGAGUUAUUUUUUUAAAUCCAUAUAUGCAUUCUUGAGGAUGAAAGUUACUUAUGCAUUCAAAACUUUCCUUUACUUGUUUGCCAAAUACCCCUAACAAAACGGUGUCAGUAACAGUCAUGGCAAUUUCAAUAUACACAGUAGGCUAUAGUAUACUGAAAAUCUUCUUCUAUAUUCAGAAAAAAAAAAAAAAAGUUUAGUAAGACAAGGUAGUUUGGUCACUUCGCAUGUCAGUCUUGUUUGUGAUUAUGCUGUUUUGAACCCUAUAGUAUACUGAAAAUCUUCUUCUAUAUUCAAGAAAAAAAAAAGUUUAGUAGCAAGGUAGUUUUGGUCACUUUCGCAUGUCAGUCUUGUUUUGUGAUUAUGCUGUUUUGAACCCACGACUAUUUAGCAGGUUAUCCAAAGCACCAAGCAUCCAAAGCAGUUAUAGUAACCCGAACGUCUAAAAAUUGGACAUCACUCCAUCGUUUCCUUGAUAUCAAUGGUCAACACUUUAACUUUUACGUUCCAUAACGCGGGACAUACGCGUGCGCCGGGUGAGGAUGAUUUCACAGAGAUAGGCAGCGCCUCAUACGCGUGGCGCAGUGAGCGCACAGAAUAGUUCCUUUGAGUUUGUCAAAGCCACGCGCCCGGCGCGCGAAGCCCGAGCAGGGGAUUCAUGCAGGGGGCGGGUCUUCCUUUGGAAGCGUGCGGCCCAAAAGGGGGUGGAGGUGUGGCGCACGUGUAGAAAAGGGAGAGCAAGCUGCUUUACCCUCAAAUCAAUCGCCGAACAGGUGAAUCGCUUCUUGCGAGCCACGCGAAAGGCACGAGAGCGGCGCAUUACUCGCAAACUCCCCAUCUAUUU
rnacentral:lncRNA from 1 species